GGCUGUGUGGGUUUUUACUUUUCGAUGAAAAAAAAUGCAGAUCUUGAACAAAGACGUUUUUGACGUAGCCAAUCUCAUAGUUUAACUCGAUUAUAUAUUAUUUCAAAUAACCAUCGUAACGUACCCCCCCCCCCCCCUUCUCCAGCUAGCUUGCAUUAGCUCACAGGCUAGAUUCCAACACUCCCCCACAUGAUGUUGUAUAUUCUAUUGGCGUCUAUUUUAACAUAUAUAAGUUAAUUUUAUGUAGGUUCUGAGUGUCAUCUUCAAAUGUCGCCCAACCCGUGUCGUUUGAAAAGCCUUUUCAUUUCAUUUGUAUAUUGUGAUCAUGUCGAACUGCAAACUUUGUCCCGUCGAGGCCGUUGCAUUGCAUUGCCCCCCUCGACCCAAUUGGAACAUUUUCUCAACCAAAAUAGCAAAUUAUUUCCGUAAAACGAUAGGGAGAUUCUUACCACCGUUGUGCACUCUUUCAUAUGGUUCGUCUUAAGCGUGCCGUCUGAUUUUGGCUUGACGUUUAUUCGAAUUUCGUCCUCUCGUAUUCUCUCUUCAACUUUCGAAGGGUGUCAGAAAAGUUGCAGGACUGGUGUCACAAAAAGAUCCAAUAGUAAGAGUCUUUGCAUCUUUUGUUAAUUCUGCGUGUGAAAAAAAAGGUGAGAGUUGUUGCCUGAGCAUCCAAUUGUGUCAGGCCACAAAUAAUUCAGUCGAAUUAGCUCAGUGUGAGUUUUUCCCCCCUUCCAAAUUAUUAUUCAAUUCAUUUGACCAAGAUGAAAUAGGUCCACAAAGGAACCCAUUUCAAAGAAAUGGACAGCAUCAUGGUGGCCCCUGACGACGACGACGAUCCAGGAAGAAUCCCUCAAGUGUGCUCUGAAUGUGGGUGAGAAAGCUGUCAAAAGCAUGUUAGACUCCACUUUGAUGGAAAAUGGUUGUAGUUUGGAUUUAAAAUGAUCUUUUAUUGUUGUGACACCGGUCCUGGAACUUUUUGGAGACUGCAAGUCAUCCACAAAUAGCCACACACUUGAAAUGAUUUCAUGUUAUGCUUUUUUUGGGGGUGUACUGCAUUCUUUGCCAACUAGGUUAUCAGGUGAUAGGUUAACUAAGUCACGUGUGCUGUUUUCUAUACUUUUCAAGAGUUAAACUCAUUUUAAGGGAGGGGGAAAAAAAACCACGACUCCAUACGACAUUUUUUACAGGACUUUUCAUGCUUGUUGGGAUGGAUUAAAGAACAGAGCAGCCUUGUGUGUCCUGCGGGCCAUACGUCAGCCCCGCUGUAAGGGGUGCCCCAUUGGCCCCACAGCAAGCAGCCAGGGUGGCAAGGCGCCCAGCAUGAGUAAGAAGUCGUUGCCAAGUGGGGUGAGGUGCUGCUGGGGAUGAAGUCACUCCUCUCCCCCUGAAUGGCCUCCACAUGCUCCACAAGGAGGAGGGGGGGGGGGGGGGGGAGUAUGUUUGUGCAUCUGCCGGUUUUGAACAGCAAGCCGCCUGUGGGCUCUCAAGCCCGCCGAGCAACCGUCAAACACAAUGACUUAGUGUCCACAUACACCGCGCGACACACUUUUGUAGACCUUGCUGCUGCUUCAACACCUCUCUGAUGUGAGCGGCUCACGUCAAUUUCGUGCCUUAAGUGCGUGACGGAGGAGCCUCGAGCCAUUACCGUCCCGCUCACCUAAGGAGAGGAGCGCUUCAUUUCUCACUCAUGCAUGCUGACACGCUUCCGCUGUACUCUUAAAACUGCAUUAUUCAUGUUGUUGACUGGAGUCGCUUUUGCACGCGGGCUUGGACCCCGGGGAGAAAGUGCUAUAUCACGUGCCAGGUCAGAACCGUCGGCGCUCACUUCUUUCAAAGUCUGCCGUUUGAUUCCAAGAGUCAUCAAAUGACUCGCUGUCACAUCUGGGCCAUUUUGUUGUCAGCAUUUUUGUGUGUGCACGUCGCCAAUCUUUUUGGGCCGACUCCUUUUCAGACCUCGGCGUUCUUGCUCUUGAGAGCGACGUGAAAUUUUCAGGGAGGCCCGUCACAAAAGCUUGGUGCUUUUCUGAACCCUCUUCAUUUACCGCCGACCUCAUCUGAGGAACGCGGCUGCUUCGAAUGCUGAAUUCUGGUUGCGCGGGCGGCGGCGGCGUAAAUAUUCAUGGCGGUAUUAUGACACAAAGGCAGGAAAUGGGCAAGCAAUAAAGCUGAGUGUAAAUACAGUCAUGCUCCCCCCCCCCCGGCGUUGACGGCGCUUUGUGCAUUUCCGAAACGGAGUCUCCCCGCCAUUUGCUUUCUAGCCGCGGGCACAAAGAAAAUGUUUCUUGUAACGCGUAUUGACUCGCGAGCGAUGGUUGGCUUCUCAUGCAAACUGCGGGAAGAAGCCUGCAGUCUGCAUGGCGGUCAAACUAACUUUGUAUCAAGAAGAGAUACAAAACGGGAAUGCCAUUUUUUUUCCCCCAGGUCAUCGUGACUGCAGAGUUUGUAACCUGGCGCCUGUGAAAAUGGGCCUCGGCAGCCUUGCGCUCAAAGUGCUCUUUGAAUAUUUUGCAAAGUCUGAGAGCGUUUCUUCUAAAGCCGCCUCGUUGCCAUGCCUGUAUUAUUUAAAGGAUGGAGGCCUAUUUGACGAUGCCAUUACCGCGUCUACUCCAGGGGGUGUGUGGGGGGAUUCUGCCCCCCCCCCCCCCCCACUAAGUAACUGCAGUCAUGUGACUCGGCUGCAACGUCUUUAAACGCUUGCUCCUGGUGCCGUUUUCUCUUCUCCCGCAAAUAGCGUCGAGGCGUUAUUUCUGUCUGUUCCCGCGGCGGCGGCGUGUAAAGGGCUUCCUUUUAAUAGUGUUAAUUGUGUGCGCAACGUGACACGGCGACAUGUGAAUCUCCAGAUCCGCGUGGCCCGCUGCCGCAUGUGUGCCAUGGGGUGCGCCCCCGCCCCCCCCCAGAGGCCCAAUUGCAAAACUCCACCACGUAACCUUGCUAACCUGCACUAAACUGACCUAAUUCUCCUCCUUGGGUGUUGAUACGUUUUCAUAAUAAUCUGGUUUUAGCUCAAAAGCCGUGCCGGUGUCGCCACGUCUGCUUCCGAGCCCCCCCGAAACUGCGGGGACCCACUGACGGCACCCCGGAGUAGCCGCUUGUCGUGUGCCGAGAGGUUUCCAGUGACCGCACGCAACAGCGGCUUCUGCGCAGCACCCGUACGGAGGGGAAAAAAAAUUGCAAUCGACAAACAGACGUGCGGGUCGGCUCCAACUAAAGCGACGACGAGAGAUCCCAAAUGGCCAAAGUGAGCACGGAGCCAGAAUAGAAGUCCGUUGGGCUCUGCUGGAAUAUUUUUGACUCUGGAAAGAAGGUCAACCUGCCAUUAGAGUUUUCAUUCAGUCCCCCCCCCCCAACCAGCCUAAUCGCAGGACUGGCUGAACUCAGGGGAAUGCCCUGCGCUUGUCAAGCAAUCCGGGUCAAAUCCAAAUCCUGUGGGAAUAGUCGAGUGGUGUUCCAAAGCUCGAGAGAUUACGAAAGCCGUCCGGAGGUGACCUCAGCAAAUUUUGUUUUGAGUCGCAUGAGGAUGCUUGUGAAAGUGGAGGGAAUAAUGGCGGCGCUGGUAUUCCUGCUCUUCC